GGGGUUGACUGGAUUUGACAGCGGGAUGAAAUGGUAUGUAAGCACGCGGAGCAUCGGUGGCUGGCUCCAUAAUCUCAGUUAUCAAGAAUUUAAUUGGCGAAAAUAACUACGCUCUCGCUGCCUAACCGAAGUACAGUAGGUUACUGGCUUGAUCCCGUCACCAGGUGACAGGACGAGACAUCGCUCAAAGGCUGUUGUUCCGAAGUUCUUUGUCCAAGCGGUGCAAGUAAAUCGGAAAUAGUGCGUCAAUGCCUCGCUUGGCGUAUGAAAUUUAGAGGCUAAGGUUGUAGUUGGUGGUCCGGGUCUUGCCUCAGCACGAAAAUUGAAGUCCGGAAUAAGCGUGUAGAAAGCGUAUGGUUUCCCUGUUUGGACGAGGGUUCGACUCCCUCCAGCUCCACUC
rfam:Prevotella pleuritidis F0068 contig00004, whole genome shotgun sequence.